AAAAUUUAUAUUUUAACUUCCUAGGUGGUUCCCUUCUUAUCUUAGAGGAAAAAAAAUGCCUCUGUUCCCUGUAAGGCAAUACUUCCCACCAGCAUGGGUUUUUACUCCAUAAAUUAUUUGUAAAAUCCUUCCUUAAUAUUUUUGUAAAAUGUACCUAUUUUCCUUUAGCAUUAAGCAUAGAAAGUUAUAAGGUUAAGAAAAACACUAUAAUAUUUUCCUUUGUAGAGAGACAGCCCAGAGACUCAGCUCUGCCUGGAGAGAUAUAACUGGCAGUGCCAGGUUGGGACUUCCAGGAAUGCUUUUCAAAUAAGCCCAGGUCUGUCUACCUCUAGACCUCUCUUGCAGCUUGAGAAUGUCCCAGUUAAGCCACUUUAAAAUUUCUUUUUUCUGCAGCCCAACACUUUGCUAAGAGGUACAGAAAAGAAAGGAAAUAAAACACACAUCAUUAUGGAUAUUGUGUAAUGUAUCUUUCAGGAACAUUUUUUGAAUGUUUCAUAAUACAGCAAUAAUCAAGCUAUUCUGGCUAAAAGGCGGAGGAGACAUUUGGCCUGAGUUGUGAGGGAAACAU
rnacentral:lncRNA from 1 species